rnacentral:lncRNA from 1 species
UCCAGAUGUGAAAUCAGGGGACCUGAAUUCCAUCUCAGCCCUGCCACAGACUAGCCAUGACACUUUAAUAACAGAACUUCAGAAUGUUAGAGCCAUCUGGAAUAAAGACCGUAUUUCUCAGCCUCCCUUGCAGUGGUCCUUAAAGUAUGGUUCCAGAACUAGCAGCGACAAGAUUACCUGGUGUGAAUUGAAUUAUGUUCCCCCAAAAUAUAUGCUGGAGUCCUAACCUCAGAUCAAGUAGUUGAAGUUUUGUUAGCUAUGGAGUCUAUAUAUUUGAGACUCAGGAGAGGAGUUGCAAAAUGGGACAAAAAGGAAGCAAAUGAAAUAAGUUUACCUACUCAAUAUGAAGGCUAACACUUUUUACCAAUAUUUGUG